rnacentral:snoRNA from 1 species
GCUAGCUUGGUGAUGAAACCAUUGACGGAUGUAAACGAGCAUAUGCUCGUAAGCCCGAGAGCGCAUAAAAAUCAUGUGGAUACCCCGUUGCCUUCCUUCUGACCUUUCGU